rnacentral:tRNA from 15 species
GGAGAGAUGGCUGAGUGGUUGAUAGCUCCGGUCUUGAAAACCGGUAUAGUUCUAGAAACUAUCGAGGGUUCGAAUCCCUCUCUCUCCU